rnacentral:lncRNA from 1 species
GAGAAUAUUUUAUACGCACUUUUAAAAAUAAAAUAUGAAUGAUGUCGCGAGCGCGUGCGUGUGUGGUCGGGCUCGAGACGGCCAACGAUGAAAACAAAGAGAACCGACAACUACUAACGGAUGCAGGUUUUGAAAACUGACGGCAACAGAGUGCCGAUGCAAUGCGGAUGAUGCGCAUGAUGCGAUGAUGAAUGUGGCAAACAAAAUAAUAACACG